rnacentral:rRNA from 1 species
UAGAGUUUGAUCAUGGCUCAGAUUGAACGCUGGCGGCAGGCCUAACACAUGCAAGUCGAGCGGAAACGAUGGAAGCUUGCUUCCAGGCGUCGAGCGGCGGACGGGUGAGUAAUGCAUGGGAAUCUGCCCGAUAGUGGGGGAUAACCUGGGGAAACCCAGGCUAAUACCGCAUACGUCCUACGGGAGAAAGCAGGGGAUCUUCGGACCUUGCGCUAUCGGAUGAGCCCAUGUCGGAUUAGCUUGUUGGUGAGGUAAUGGCUCACCAAGGCGACGAUCCGUAGCUGGUCUGAGAGGAUGAUCAGCCACAUCGGGACUGAGACACGGCCCGAACUCCUACGGGAGGCAGCAGUGGGGAAUAUUGGACAAUGGGCGAAAGCCUGAUCCAGCCAUGCCGCGUGUGUGAAGAAGGCCCUCGGGUUGUAAAGCACUUUCAGUGGGGAAGAAAGCCUUGGGAUUAAUACUCCCGAGGAAGGACAUCACCCCAG